rnacentral:rRNA from 1 species
UAGGGAAUCUUCGGCAAUGGGGGGAACCCUGACCGAGCAACGCCGCGUGAGUGAAGAAGGUUUUCGGAUCGUAAAGCUCUGUUGUUAAGGAAGAACGAGUGUGAGAAUGGAAAGUUCAUGCUGUGACGGUACUUAACCAGAAAGGGACGGCUAACUACGUGCCAGCAGCCGCGGUAAUACGUAGGUCCCGAGCGUUGUCCGGAUUUAUUGGGCGUAAAACGAGCGCAGGCGGUUAGAAAAGUCUGAAGUGAAAGGCAGUGGCUCAACCAUUGUAGGCUUUGGAAACUGUUUAACUUGAGUGCAGAAGGGGAGAGUGGAAUUCCAUGUGUAGCGGUGAAAUGCGUAGAUAUAUGGAGGAACACCGGUGGCGAAAGCGGCUCUCUGGUCUGUAACUGACGCUGAGGCUCGAAAGCGUGGGGAGCGAACAGG